CAGAUCGAUCAAAUAAUUGACCCUGUUGUUGAUUCAACUUACAAGGAUAUUUGGAUGUCAACUGCAAAGACAAAUACGGCCAUUUACCAAGAUGUCUUUUCUUGCAUACCUAAUGAUCUGAUACAUACGAGAGCUGCACUCAGACAAAGCACGGCCUUCUGAAAGGAGAAACUUGGCCAUUCUAUAAU